CGGUGGUUGAUGGCGGCGGGGAAACGCCCGGUCCCAUUCCGAACCCGGUAGCUAAGCCCGCCCGCGCUGAUGGUACUGCAUCCGGGAGGAUGUGGGAGAGUAGGUUACCGCCGACCU
rnacentral:rRNA from 1 species